rnacentral:rRNA from 1 species
GCUUGCUCCUCUGACGUUAGCGGCGGACGGGUGAGUAACACGUGGAUAACCUACCUAUAAGACUGGGAUAACUUCGGGAAACCGGAGCUAAUACCGGAUAAUAUAUUGAACCGCAUGGUUCAAUAGUGAAAGACGGUUUUGCUGUCACUUAUAGAUGGAUCCGCGCCGCAUUAGCUAGUUGGUAAGGUAACGGCUUACCAAGGCAACGAUGCGUAGCCGACCUGAGAGGGUGAUCGGCCACACUGGAACUGAGACACGGUCCAGACUCCUACGGGAGGCAGCAGUAGGGAAUCUUCCGCAAUGGGCGAAAGCCUGACGGAGCAACGCCGCGUGAGUGAUGAAGGUCUUCGGAUCGUAAAACUCUGUUAUUAGGGAAGAACAAAUGUGUAAGUAACUAUGCACGUCUUGACGGUACCUAAUCAGAAAGCCACGGCUAACUACGUGCCAGCAGCCGCGGUAAUACGUAGGUGGCAAGCGUUAUCCGGAAUUAUUGGGCGUAAAGCGCGCGUAGGCGGUUUUUUAAGUCUGAUGUGAAAGCCCACGGCUCAACCGUGGAGGGUCAUUGGAAACUGGAAAACUUGAGUGCAGAAGAGGAAAGUGGAAUUCCAUGUGUAGCGGUGAAAUGCGCAGAGAUAUGGAGGAACACCAGUGGCGAAGGCGACUUUCUGGUCUGUAACUGACGCUGAUGUGCGAAAGCGUGGGGAUCAAACAGGAUUAGAUACCCUGGUAGUCCACGCCGUAAACGAUGAGUGCUAAGUGUUAGGGGGUUUCCGCCCCUUAGUGCUGCAGCUAACGCAUUAAGCACUCCGCCUGGGGAGUACGACCGCA